CCUACUGGUGGCAGCAGUGGGGGAUAUUGCACAAUGGGGGAAACCCUGAUGCAGCGACGCCGCGUGUGGGAAGACGGUCUUCUGGAUUGUAAACCACUGUCCCCAGGGACGAAAAUGACGGUACCUGGGGAGGAAGCUCCGGCUAACUACGUGCCAGCAGCCGCGGUAAUACGUAGGGAGCAAGCGUUGUCCGGAAUUACUGGGUGUAAAGGGAGCGUAGGCGGGGAUGCAAGUUGGGUGUCAAAACUACCGGCUCAACCGAUAGUCGCACUCAAAACUGCAACUCUUGAGUGAAGUAGAGGCAGGCGGAAUUCCUAGUGUAGCGGUGAAAUGCGUAGAUAUUAGGAGGAACACCAGUGGCGAAGGCGGCCUGCUGGGCUUUUACUGACGCUGAGGCUCGAAAGUGUGGGGAGCAAACAGGAUUAGAGACCCGGGUAGUC
rnacentral:rRNA from 1 species